GGGGUUGUGGCUUAGUGGUAGAGCGCUUGCCUACCAUGCAUGAGGCACUGGGUUUGAUCCCUAGCACCA
rnacentral:tRNA from 1 species